CACACAUUAUAGCGCUGGCAAACGAUUAGUCGACAUAAUCUACGACGUCGAUUAUAAAAAUUGGUCAACGAUUUUUUUUUUUAAUAAAACCAUAAAACCAGAGACUUUUUAAGAGGAACCAUUUUUGAAUGUUCGCUUGCAAUACACUACAGGAGGUGCAGGGGGCAGCAUCGCUUCUACUGCCAUGACUGCAUCACUAAUGAAGAAGAACGAAUGAACGAUGGCGCAACGGAGCAAAGAGAGACCGGAACUUGUGAAGGACUAUGGGGACGCGUGAAGACCUGAAACGCUAGCACUCUGGACCCGUGAUGUCUAAAGUCCUCCGUACUCCGGAUGGACAGUUCAGUGUGUUAACAAACCAUCCUCUCAUCAGAGCUCUGAUGUCUCCAGACUGAAAACCUUGGUUUGUCACUGAUAAGCACAUCCCUGCCCGUAUGCAGGGAAGCGUGCGCCGCCGUUCUCGCUGUUGGCACGCUCCCCCUCUGCUCUACAACAAGACUGCAAGUCCAGUGUCUGACUGGCUGAGUUUUAAUCCUGCAGAUUAAUACUAAUGCCACGGGAAAGAAGGCAGAAAGACGAUUAAAAUGUCACUGGAUAACCUCUCCACAACCCAAACAGUAACAGCUCCAAAUACACAGACCAUUAUAUCACUUGCCGUACCUGGUACUGGACGACUCCUCCCCGCCUCCCUCGCCGGGCAGAGGCGGUGGAGAAGUCAGGACAGGAGGAGGCCUGGGAGACUGACGCAGCGGGAGAGGGAGAGCAACUGCACAGG